CAUUACUGAACUGUCGACCUCCGGUUUUAUUGGUCCUUGAUGGGGGAACGUGCACGCUCUGUUUACACAUCCGCUCGGCCUGCCCACCCUUGUAGUUCUAUGUGCUGGGGACUCUGUCCUCUCGCCGAGACCCUGCAUCUUUGCGUCCACACCGUAACAAAACAUCAUGUAAUGCUUUCCGCGUCUAAUCUCUUGCAAUACAACUUUCAGAAACACAUCUCUUGGCUCUCUCAUCAAUGAAAAACGCAGAAAAAUGCGAUAAAUAAUGUCAAUUGCCGAAUUUUGUGACCUGUCGAAUCUUUCAAGGCAUGUUGGGCCCUUUGUCUUUUCCAAAGGGCAUGCCCGUUUGAGGAUGGGCCAUGCCUCAACUCUCAUGGUUCGCCAUGAUGAGCUUGGACUUUGGGGGUCUUGCUGGCUACACUGCUCGCUCCUCGCAAAUGAAGCAGCUUGCCAGAGCCUGCAGCUCUCUCAUGGACGAUAAAUAACGACGGUAGUGCCCCUCAAUCUAGUUACCUUCAGUAAUGGAGGAACACUGGAGCUCACAGACGUCUCUCCUCAUGGAGGACAAGCUUCUUAACGUUUUGAUCUCAAAUCAGGUAGGACUACCCGCUGAAACUUUAAGCAUAUCAAUAAGCGGAGGAA
rnacentral:rRNA from 1 species